AGCGAACGUUUGCGGCGGGCCUAACACAUGCAAGUCGAACGCACUAGCAAUAGUGAGUGGCGCACGGGUGCGUAACACGUGGGUAAUCAACCCUUCAGCUUGGGAUAACGACUUGAAAGGGUCGCUAAUACCGGAUACGGCGAGAGAGGCUUCGGCAUUUCUCGAGAAAGCCUCGCAAGGGGCACUGAAGGACGAGCCUGCGGCCCAUCAGCUAGUUGGUGAGGUAAGAGCUCACCAAGGCGAAGACGGGUAGCUGGUCUGAGAGGAUGAUCAGCCACACUGGAACUGAGACACGGUCCAGACUCCUACGGGAGGCAGCAGUGGGGAAUAUUGCGCAAUGGGGGAAACCCUGACGCAGCCACGCCGCGUGAGUGAUGAAGGCCUUCGGGUUGUAAAGCUCUGUCGGGAGGGACGAAGGGGAAACCCUGACGGUACCUCGCAAGAAGCACCGGCUAACUCUGUGCCAGCAGCCGCGGUAAU
rnacentral:rRNA from 1 species